AACCUGGUUGAUCCUGCCAGUAGUCAUAUGCUUGUCUCAAAGACUAAGCCAUGCACGUCUAAGUACAAACUAAAUGAUGGUGAAACUGCAAAUGGCUCAUUACAACGGUUAUGAUGUACCCGGGAGUUCCGAUGGAUAUUUCCAGUAACACUAGAACUAAUACAUGCUCCUGCGUUUAUUAGUUUCGCACAGUCCGUCGCUGAGUCAUGGUAAACAGUUGAUCGACUCGACGUCCCGGAACAGUUUCCGCCCCAUCAACUUCGAUGGUUGGGUAUUGGCCUACCAUUGCAACAACGGGUAACGAGGAAUUAGGGUUUGAUUUCGGAGAGGGAGCCUGAGAAACGGCUACCACAUCUACGGAUGGCAGCAGGCGCGCAAAUUACCCAAUGCAGACACUGUGAAGGUAGC
rnacentral:rRNA from 1 species